GUUGGAUUUCGGGAGGCUGGGUGUGAUUGUCCUGGCAGAAAAUCUCCAAAGGGAGCUGCCGGCAAUUUGUCCCGUCUGCACCCCCACGCCCCUCGCCCAUUGUCUCCCCCUCCCUCCCGUCCUCGAACCACGGCUGGUCUUGUAACCUGCGUGGACCAGUGGAGCGGGGGCAACCCAGCUGCCAUGUGGUAAGGAAGCCGAGGGGGGCGACCGGAGGAGCCCCGUGGAGGGCGGUGAGGGUGACAGGCGGCUCGUACCUACCAGACACGUGGGGGAGGCCUUCUUCUAGUGCCGGCCGAGCUCCCUGAGGAACGCGGCCACCGGGCGGCUCCGGCCGGCAGCACACGGCGCAGCAGAACCGCCCAGAUGAGCCCAGCCCAGACUCCUGACCCCACGGCGUCAUGAGAAAUAACGAUUCGCUCUUCGGGGUCGCUAAGUGUUGGGGCUGUUUGCCACACAGCAAGAGACGACGCGCACAGAUCUCUGUCGGACAUCCAGGCAGAAACACGUCGUGUGGGCAGCGGGAUGCGUGAGCCUGGGGCUCGGGAGAGAGAUCCCGUCUGGAGACAUUGAUCUGGGCAUCUCGGACCCAGGUGGCGUUGGUCCUGAGACUGGAUGGGAUGAGCACGGUCGAGUGUGCAGAGGACGAGGGACCGAACCCCGGGGCCCCGGGGUCUUUACGUGGCCAGGACGGGGAGGAGGGGCUGGUAAGGGGGCAUAGCGGCUGUGCUGGGGGUCAGGCCCCCCACCAGCACCGGCCAGACCUUCCCCCCACUCUCUGCUGGUGCCAUUCCUUCCGACACCACGUCCCCUUGUGCCCGUCCCAUGAGAACACGAGCUCAUUCAGCUGCGCGUGCCCGCUGUCCUGGGCCCCCCACAUUCCCCUCGUCUCUGAGACGGGGUCCUAGCAGGCCUCAUGCCUCCUCACUCCGUCUCAGCCCCGGGCUCGCGGAAAGUUCUGCAUCUGCGUGCUCCUCUGGGACCGCGGGACCUCCCUCCGCCCUGCAGAGACAGCCGUGGCCGCCAGGUCCCCAAAGCAGGCGGGAGCCACCUCUCAUUGUCCGAACACACCCUCCUGCGGGUGGCUGAGCGCACAGAGCUGGGCACGGAUUCCACAAGGUCCUCAGCACCUGUGCUGCGGGGGAGGGAUGCCAACCCUGUCCUAAGACCCUCACCAUUCACACUGUCACCCUCAAAAAGCAGCCGAGACUGUGGCUGUCACAGGGCGUUAUCUGGGCCAUCUUUCCUGGAUCCCAGGGCCCGGACCCCAGAGGUGCUGGCGCUGUCCCACGCACGUGGUAAGUCCUGGAACAAAACCGGCCACCCGCUGCGCUUAGAUUUUAUUCUCUUUAUCACCCACCCCUGCCCAUCCCCAUGCUCCCUCCUCCCAGGAACACCCACCUUAGUGAAGUUAAUUUACUAGAGUUUAGUCCUUCCAACCCGUUGUCAAUGCAUUACGCAUUUAUUAAGAUAUAAGUGACUCCCUGAAAAGGAUAUAGUGCCAUUUUGUGUGUGCUUGAAAAUCUACUUAGACACUAUUGGCCCAUAAAUCUCAUUUUGAGUUCGGUCCUUGUUAUAUGUAAAUCUGGUUCAAUAUAUCUGAUGGCUGCAUGGGAUUUUCUUUUUUCUUCCCUCCCUCCCUCCCUUCCUUUCUUUUUCUUUCUUUCUCCCUUCCUUCCUUCCCUCCCCCCACCCCCCCCCCGCCUCCCCUCCCACUUUCUUUCUUUCAUAGGCUUCAUGCCCAGCGCCAAACCCAAUGUGGGGCUUGAACUCAGGACCCCAAGAUCAAGACCUGACCUGAGAUCAAGAGUCGGAUGCUCAACUGACCGAGCCACCCAGGGGCACCCAGGUGCCCCGGGACUUUUCACUUUGUGAGUGUACAUAUAAUUUAGAGUGAAGGUGUGUGUCCCCACAAAACACGGGUGUUGCACUAACCCUGGAGGGGAAUGUAUUAGGAGGUGGGGCCUUCGGGAGGUCACGAGGUCAUGAGGGUGAAGCCCCUGCACGUGGGAUUAGUGCUCUUAUCAAAGAAGCUCCCGAGAGCCCCCUUCUUCUUCUGUCCUCUGAGGACCCAGUGAGAAGAUGGCCAUCUACCAAUCAGGAAGCAGUCCUCAUUGGACACUGAAUCUGCAGGGACCUUGAUCUUGGAGUUGCAGCCUCCAGAGCUGUGAAAAUAAAAGUCUGUUGUGUACGAGCCUUGCA
rnacentral:lncRNA from 1 species